rnacentral:lncRNA from 1 species
UAGAUUCUAUUCUUUUAUAUAUAUUAGAUUACACUGUGUAGAGAAAUACACAUAAAAAUUUUCCAAAAUUCACUCUCUUUUCAUUCUCUUCAUGGUAUCAGAGCAGGCUUGAACUGCUUCAUUUUUUCACGAUCCUUCCACGAUUUUGCUGUUUCGUUUUUGCUUUUUUCUCUUCAGCUAUGAGUACCACUAGACAGACUCUGGAUCCUCUCGCAUGAUCCAUUUCCACAGUCGACCCAGUUGUACCAGCAGCUUUAGUUAUGAGUGGAGUGGUUGAUUCAUCACAUCCCUAUUACCUUCAUCCCUCGGAUUAUCCAGGGAUGAAUCUUGUGUCCACAGUUUUUGAUGGAAGAAGCUAUGAUGGAUGGAGAAGAGCUGUAGUAAUUGCUUUAUCUGCAAAAAAUAAGCUGGGCUUUAUUGAUGGAACUCUUACUAUUCCACAAGCUGAUUCUAGACAUCAACAGACUUGGGCAAGGUGUAAUGACAUGGUAUUGUCAUGGCUACUCAAUUCUCUACCUAAGAAAAUAGGUGAGAGUGUUCUUUACUCUCAAAGUGCCAAGGACUUGUGGAGUGAUUUAGAAGACAAAUUUGGACAAACUAAUGGAGCUAAGUUAUUUCAGUUACAAAAAGAACUUAGUUUGUGGUACAAAGUAAUUCUAGUGUAUCAACCUAUUUCACUAAGAUAAAAAGCUUAUGGGAUGAUCUUGAUACCUUGAACACUUUCUCAGCAUGUGUUUGUGAAUGUGAAUGUGGAGCUAAGGUGAAGAAUUAAGGCAUAACAAGAUGAAAGGUUGUUGCAGUUUUUGAUGGGUUUGAAUGACAUAUUCAUAGGUGUUAGGAGCAAUAUUUUGUUGUCUUCACCCUUACCUUUCAUUGGGCAGGUCUAUUCACUAGUGAUACAGGAUGAGAAGCAGAGGGAGAUUCAUGUUGCUCCUGCAUAUCCAGGAGAAUCUGGAUCCGUUCUUGCUACAAACCAACAAGGAAAUAGAAGAAGGUUCAAUGAAAAUAAGGGACAAAAGGGUUUUUGAUCCUAGAAAGAAUGUUGGAAUAUGUACUUAUUGCAAAAAAAACCUGGCAUACUAUUAAUAAAUGCUAUAGGAUUCAUGGGUUUCCUGCAGAUUUUAAGUUCACUAAGCAGAGGAAGUUUCAAGGGAAUGUACAUACUAAUAUUGUGUUUAACACAAAUAAAGAAGAAAUCCAAGGAAACACUAAUGUACUAGGAACAUAGUCACUUACCUAGGAAAAUGUGACACAAUUAUUGCAGCUUCUGCAACAGGUCAACAUAGGACAGCAAGGUGCAGGAACCUCUGAAGCCUCUGCAAAUCUGAGUUGUGCUGGUAUAGCCAAAAUUUUCAAUUCUUUUGCCUGUUUCAUUCAAAUUGAUAGUGAAUCAUUGAUAUUAGAUAGUGGAGCAACUGAGCAUAUGACUUUUAACAUAAAUUUCUUUAUUAACUAUAAAGUCAUGCCUAAACCCGUCAUGGUCAAUCUGCCCAAUUCACAUAGAGUAAAAGUUACAUAUUCAGGUUCUGUUGCAUUAUUACCAAACCUAGUUUUGCACAAUGUACUGUACGUGCCUUCUUUUAGAAUCAAUCUGUUGUCUGUGCACAAGUUAUGCAAACAACUCCAACAGUAUGUUCUUUUCACUCUUGAUUCUUGUUUUCUGCUGUAGGGCCCUAUACUGAAGAGCCCCCUGGAGAUUGGUAAGGAGACAAAAGGACUCUUCAUUCUCAAGUCAAGACUUGUAGCCCCAGUUUUUAAAAGCUUCCCUAAGUCUAGUACUUUUGUAUCUAGGCAGAGUUUAUAUUAUGUUCCAGUUUUUAAUUCUUAUUUUGCUUUUCCCGAUUCCAAUAUAAAAGAAAAGCUAUGGCAUUAUAGGUUAGGCCAUAUGCCUUUGAGUAAUAUGAAGAAAUUUUCUGAUGUUUCUGUUCUUUCAUGCUUUACUCAUUCUACUCCUUGUCUUAUUUGUCCUAUGGCUAGACAAUUCAAGCUUCCUUUUCCUUCAAGUUCUAUAUCAACCAAAAAGAUCUUUGAACUAAUCCAUGUGGAUACUUGGGGACCCUACGAGGAUCCUAUUUAUGAUGGUUAUAAAUAUUUCCUCAAUAUAGUUGAUGAUUAUAGUAGGGGACUUGAACCUACUUACUAAGUAACAAAUCAAAUGCUUUCACUGUGUUAAAAUCUUAUUUAGUAAUGGCAGAUAGGUAAUUUCAUACAAAAGUCAAGAUAAUCAGAUAAGAUAAUGCUUCUGAAUUGGGUUUUGGAAUUGUUCAAACAGAUUUUUUUCUUUCCCAAGGGAUUAUACAUCAAACCAGUUGUGUAUCCACUCCACAACAGAAUGGAGUUAUGGAGAGAAAACAUAAGCACUUACUAGAGACAUCUAGAGCUCUAUUGUUUCAAUCUCAUUUACCUGGAUCAUUUUGGGGGGACUUCUUGCUCACAGACACUUAUUUGAUCAACACAUACCCUUCUAGAGUAUUAAAGUUCAAGACUCCUUAUGAAGUCCUUUUUUUCAAACCAAACCUAGCUAUUCUAAUUUAAGAUGUUUUGGUUGUCUAUGCUUUGCCUCCACCCUUUCAAGACAUAGAACCAAAUUUGAUUCAAGGGUUGUUCCUUGUGUGUUUCUAGGCUAUCCACAUGGCAAAAAGGGUUAUAAGGUAGUUGAUCUGAAGACAUUAAAGGUCUUUAUUUCUAGAGAUGUAAUAUUUCAUGAGGAAUUUUUUCCAUUUCCUUCUAUCAAAUCUGAUUCUAUAGGGGCUCCUUAUCUGCCAACAACCACAUUAAACAAUUCAUUUCCCUUAAACUUAGAUUCUUCCCCACCUUUGGUUUCAUCUAACAACCAACACUCUAUUUCUACUCUUUCUCCUACCUCUAUUGUUUCUUCUUCUCCUACCCCUACUGUUUCUUCUCCUACUUCUAACCCUGGUACAACUCUAUUCCCUAACAGCCCAUUACCAGUUGGAUCAUUACCAGGCUGCUCAUCUUCUAGUUUCCAUUUACCUUCACUAUCUUCACCCGUUUAUCAACCUAUGGUAGAUACUCUAAUUAGAAAAUCUACCAGACCUCACAAUCCUCCUACAUACCUCAAGGAUUACAUUUGUAAUGAUUUUCACCUCUCAAAUAUGAGUACUACAUGUUUUCUUGCCCCAGUCUCUCCUCAAUUCUUAUCCUUUAUUAAUCUUUCCAACACUAAUCAACUUAUGCUCAAUUCUCUAUCUAAUAUGCAUGAACCUAUUAGUUAUUCAUAGGUUGCACAUCACCCAGGAUGGCAGGAAGCCAUGGAAUAGGAAAUUGCUGUUCUUCAGCUCAAUAAAACUUGGGAAGUCAUAGAAUUACCCCCAAGUAGAAAGGAUUUACCUUACAAAUAGGUCUAUAAGGUGAAACAAUGUUCAGAUGGUAGUGUGGAAAGACUAAAGGAUAGAUUGGUGGUAAGAUGUGAUAUACAGAGAUAUGAGAUAGACUUCAAUGAGACCUUUUCCCCGAUGGUCAAGAUGACCACCGUCAGAUGCAUUUUAGUUGUUGCUAUUAAGAAAAGUUGGGGUCUGUAUCAAUUGGAUGUGAAAAAUGCAUUCUUACAUGGUGAUUUAAACGAAGAAGUCUAUAUGAAAUUCCCAGUUGGCUUUACACCACCUUCUCCUAACCAUGUUUGUAAGUUGAAGGAGUCAAUUUAUGGACUUCGUCAAGCUUCUAGGCAAUGGUAUUCUAAGCUUACUCUGCUAUUAAUUUCAAGGGAUACACACAUUUAUUGAACGAUUGUUCUUUGUUUUUUAAACGAACAAAUUCAUCUAUCUCUAUUGUGACAGUAUAUGUCGACGAUAUAUUACUAACAAUGAGUGAUACAAAGGAAUUGACUGAAUUGAAAGAAUUUUACAUCAGGAGUUCAGAAUCAAGGAUCUUGGAUACUUACAUUAUUUUUUGGGAAUGGAAGUUAUAUGAGAGUCUCAUGGUUUGAUUCUGUCUCAGCAGAAGUUCACCCUUGAUUUACUACAGGAAUUUGAUUCUCUCCACAAGUCGCUUGUCUCUUGUCCUCUUAACCCAUCUGCUCGCCUUCUUGCUCAGUCUGGUGACUCUAUCCCUGACCCGACCUUGUAUCGCCAUUUGUUGGGCAAGCUAAAUUACUUGACACAUACAAGACCAGAUUUAUCCUACACUGUACAACACCUUAGCCAAUACAUGCAGGAUCCUAGACAGUCUCAUCUAAAUGUUGCUCUUCGUGUCCUCCACUAUUUAUUGAAAGAUCCUGGACUUGGGCUCUUUAUGUCUUCUUCACCUUCAUACCAACUCCUUGUAUUUUGUGAUUCCGACUGGGCCACAUGUCCUAAUUCGCGCAAAUCCGUCAGUGGUUUCUACAUUUCUCUUGGAUCAUGCCCAAUUUCAUGGAAAUCGAAACAACAAACAUCCAUUUCUCUCAGCUCUACAGAAGCUGAAUACCGUUCAAUGCGACGAGUUGUGGCUGAGAUCACUUGGUUGGUACGCAUAUUUGAUGAUCUUUCUAUCCCAAUUUCACUUCAUGUUCCUCUUCAUUUGGAGAGUCAGGCGGCUAUUCAUAUCGCUAAAAAUCCUAUUUUUCACGAAAGAACUAAAUACGUCGAACUAGACUGUCAUUUUGUCAGACAACAGUUCCUCGUCGACCUAAUUUCACUCUCAUAUGUUCGCUCCUCUUCUCAGCUCGCAGAUCUAUUUACCAAGUCUCUCACAGGGCCGUUUCAUCACCAUCUUUUGAACAAGUUGGGUGUCCUUUCAUCCCCCUCCAACUUGAGGAGGGGGGUGUUGGUGUUAGAAAUGAAAAAGAAGUUUCUCUCGAAUUCUCCGAUGAAGGUAAUGAAGAAAGACAAUGGAGACAAAAUCGGCU